GAUGAACGCUGGCGGCGUGCCUAAUACAUGCAAGUCGAGCGAACAGACGAGGAGCUUGCUCCUCUGACGUUAGCGGCUGACGGGUGAGUAACACGUGGAUAACCUACCUAUAAGACUGGGAUAACUUCGGGAAACCGGAGCUAAUACCGGAUAAUAUAUUGAACCGCAUGGUUCAAUAGUGAAAGACGGUUUUGCUGUCACUUAUAGAUGGAUCCGCGCCGCAUUAGCUAGUUGGUAAGGUAACGGCUUACCAAGGCAACGAUGCGUAGCCGACCUGAGAGGGUGAUCGGCCACACUGGAACUGAGACACGGUACAGACGCCUACGGGAGGCAGCAGUAGGGAAUCUUCCGCAAUGGGCGAAAGCUUGACGGAGCAAAGCCGCGUGAGUGAUGAAGGUCUUCGGAUCGUAAAACUCUGUUAUUAGGGAAGAACAAAUGUGUAAGUAAAUAUGCACGUCUUGACGGUACCUAAUCAGAAAGCAACGGCUAACUACGUG
rnacentral:rRNA from 1 species